rnacentral:misc_RNA from 1 species
AACUUUUAGCAACGGAUCACUUGGUUCUGGCAUCGAUGAAGAACGCAGCGAAAUGCGAUAAGUAGUGUGAAUUGCAGAAUUCAGUGAAUCAUCGAAUCUUUGAACGCACAUUGCGCCCCUUGGUAUCCCGAGGGGCAUGCCUGUUCGAGCGUCAUUUCACCACUCAAGCCUGGCUUGGUGUUGGGCGACGUCCCCUUUGGGGACGCGCCUCGAAACGCUCGGCGGCGUGGCACCGGCUUUAAGCGUAGCAGAAUCUUUCGCUUUGGAAGUCGGGGCCCCGUCUGCCGGAAGACCUACUCGCAAGGUUGACCUCAAAUCAGGUAGGACUACCCGCUGAACUUAAGCAUAUCAAUAAGCGGAGGCU